GAUGAACGCUGGCGGCGUGCCUAAUACAUGCAAGUCGAGCGAACAGACGAGGAGCUUGCUCCUCUGACGUUAUCGGCGGACGGGUGAGUAACACGUGGAUAACCUACCUAUCCGACUGGGAUAACUUCGGGAAACCGGAGCUAAUACCGGAUAAUAUAUUGAACCGCAUGGUUCAAUAGUUAAAUACGGUUUUGCUGUCACUUAUAGAUGACUCCGCGCCGCAUUAGCUAGUUGGUAAGGUAACGGCUUACCAAGGCAACGAUGCGUAGCCGACCUGAGAGGGUGAUCGGCCACACUGGAACUGAGACACGGUCCAGACUCCGACGGGAGGCAGCAGUAGGGAAUCUUACGCAAUGGGCGAAAGCCUGACGGAGAAACGCCGCGUGAGGGAUGAAGGUGUUCGGAUCGGAAAACGCUGUUAGUAGGGAAGAACAAAUGUGUAAGUAACUAGGAACGUAUUGACGGUACCUAAUCAGAAAGCCACGGCUAACUACGUG
rnacentral:rRNA from 1 species